rnacentral:sRNA from 2 species
UUGUUUUAUUCGCUGAAUUCCGUUACAGGAGGCGGGGGAACCGAAGCGAACGUGCGGGCGUCUUUUGCGGCGUUUUCCGUUCAUGGGGUGAAUCCUGGCGACAGCCGGGUAGGGCGACUCUCACGCCCGAAUCCGACAGCUAACCUCGUAAGCGUUCAGAGAGGCAAC